CGGUGAAUACGUUCCCGGACCUUGUACACACCGCCAGUCAAGCCAUGGAAGCUGGGUGUACCUAAAGUCGAUAACCGUAAGGAGUCGCCUAGGGUAAAACUAGUAACUGGGGCU
rnacentral:rRNA from 1 species